GGGGAUGUAGCUCAGUGGUAGAGUGCUUGCCUGGAAUACACAAAUUCCUGGGUUCAAUCCCCAGUACCAUCA
rnacentral:tRNA from 1 species